GAUCUGGCUCAGGACGAACGCUGGCGGCGUGCUUAACACAUGCAAGUCGAACGGAGCACCCUUGAUUGAGGUUUCGGCCAAAUGAUAGGAAUGCUUAGUGGCGGACUGGUGAGUAACGCGUGAGGAACCUGCCUUUCAGAGGGGGACAACAGUUGGAAACGACUGCUAAUACCGCAUGACGCAUUUUGAUCGCAUGGUCGAAAUGCCAAAGAUUUAUCG
rnacentral:rRNA from 1 species